GGUUUUGUAGUGUAGCGGUUAUCACUCCGGAUUCUGAUUCGAAACGAAUCAUUCCGGCAACCCCGGUUCGAUUCCGGGCAAGACCU